ensembl:antisense 4930500M09Rik RIKEN cDNA 4930500M09 gene
AGUGAGGCCCGAUCCUCUCCUCCCACCUACAGGACCAAAGACCAGGGGCCAGGCGGAGGACGCUUAUGCUUGGCCCGGGACAUGGGCAGGACAUGGGGGACAGCCACAAUUACCGAUGUUCCUGUGACCCUGCAACUGCUCCAGCGCCGCCCUCUCUUUGCGGAAACCAUAUUCCGCGGCCGAGGCCCAGCCCCGGUGGCUCCUGGAGGCAGGAACUGCUUGAGGGCGCCGGGGGGCGAGCCCGGGGUGCCGCAGCACCGCACCCGGUACACCGAGGCCGACGAGCCGCUGCCCAGGCGGCUCUGGACCUGCCACAGCCGCCCGAAGGCCUCCAGGAAGCGCGGCGGCUCGGCGCCCCACGCGCAGCCGGACCCCGCCAUGGUGCGGGCUGGGCCGAGGACACGCGAGCCGACACGACGCGCCAGGCAGGCCCGCGGCGCCCGCCGUCACAUCCCCGCCCGGACCCGCCGCUCCGCAGGGAGGGGCCUGCAGCGCUCGGACCGACUCCCCGGACCUCAGGCUGCCAUGACACCGGAAGCGGGAGUGCACCGGAAGUGGGAGUGCAGCCGGAAGUGGGGGGAAAGCCAAUCCUAGAGACUGAAGGAGGCGGGCCUAAGAGAGGCGGGGCCUCCAGGGGGAAAAUUUUGUUUAGCACAAAACGACUGAGAUAUUAAACUUAAUUAUUAGAGAUGGGGUGUAGCACAGUAGUAAAGUGCUUGCCUUGAAUGCGCAAGGAAGGCCCUGGCUCCAGCAAAAUAUAUGAUUAUUGAUUUUUUUGUUUUAUUUAUCUUUAAAGAGUUAUUAUAUUUGUAUGUAUAUGUUUGUGUAUUUGUUCCUCAUGUGUGCAGAAGUCAGAAGAAGGUGUAAUAUCUUUUGGUGCUGAAGUUAUAGGAGAUUGUGAGCUGCCAGGUUUGGGUGAUGGGAACCAAAGUCCUGUCCUGGGGAAGAUCAGUAUUUCCUCAUAGCCACUGAACUGUCUGUCUCCUGUGCAGCUAUCUUAUUUUCUAUUACCUAUUGUUUCAAGGUGAAAGCUACGUGCUUUCACAUCUUCCUGAUAUCCAUCAUUACCACCUCCCUUUCUAAUAUAACGCCGAUUUUCUUUGGAACAGUAAUAUACACAAAAGAAAUACCUGGCCUCUCUCAGAAGUGGCUGUGACCACGCCCUCUCUCUAGUCAAUAAGACCUUCCUGCAUAACUAACAAGGAUUUAUUGGAAGAUCUAACUUGACUCACUUAGAUGUUGUGUUUUCUUCCCUGUUACUUCCUAUCUCCUGCUUAAGAAAAUAAGCGUAAAGCUAAAGACAGAUUAGUCGGGGCUAGAGAAAUGGCUUAGCAGCUAAGAGCACUGACUGCUCUUCCAGAUCAGGGUUCAAUUCCCAGCAUCCACAUGGCAACUCACGAGUGUCUAUAACUCAAGUCCCAGAGCAUCUGGCACUCUUACACAAACAUGCAGGCAGAAUUUCAGUGUAUAUAGAAAUAAAUAAAUCUUAAAAAGCAAAAUAAAAAAAUAAAGACAGAUUAGUCAUCCUGUCUAUGAAGCAACUGAGAGAAUAAAAGCAAGAUAUUAAUAUAUU